UACGUAGGGGGCUAGCGUUGUCCAGAAUCAUUGGGCGUAAAGAGCGUGUAGGCGGCCCGGUAAGUCCGCUGUGAAAGUCGGGGGCUCAACCCUCGGAUGCCGGUGGAUACUGUCGGGCUCGAGUACGGAAGAGGCGAGUGGAAUUCCUGGUGUAGCGGUGAAAUGCGCAGAUAUCAGGAGGAACACCAAUUGCGAAGGCAGCUCGCUGGGACGUUACUGACGCUGAGACGCGAAAGCGUGGGGAGCAAACAGG
rnacentral:rRNA from 1 species